UAUGAGGUCAUGGCUCUCUCGCUAAUGCGGUUAAAUGCUCGCUCUGCAGUUGCACGCCACUAAUUCAAAUCGGGGUUGGGCCGCAGCAAGUGAAAAGAAAAAAGACAACAAACAAGCAAGCAAACAAACAAACGGUCGUCUACAUCAACCUUGGCAAAACGAAGCCACAAGAUGGCGGCCAAGUGAAUCCUGUUGUCUCCUAAAAAAGCUCUUAAAUGCACGUCAACAUAAUUCCUUGGUACAAAGAAGUGACAAGAGGCCCCUAAAAGGCCAACGUUGAAGCUCCAAAACUCACUUAAACGGAGUUGCUCGGCACCAGGAUGGUGUCAAAAUAAUACGUUUGUCUCAAUCAAGCUCCUCAUCUCACAACAGCACUUAAAUGCCAAAAAGCCAUGCUUUGGACUGAAUGAAGCUCCUCAACUCACUUCAACAAAGUUCACUGGAACCAAGGAGGCCUCUUACCUUUCGGCAGAACUCCCAUCAAACUUUCCCAAGGAGCGAUCCGAUCCCGAGCCUGACGGCGUUACAGCUGCAGGCUUCCGAUCCGUUUCCGAUCCGGCACGCUUGGAGGAGGUCGCUCGGCGGCUUCGAAGUCCGGGAUCUGGUCGGGACGCCUCAGGUGGACGGCGGCGGGGAGGCCUUCAGACGGAAGGAGGGCCGACGCUAACUUUGUGGACACCAGAAAAAAACAGCGAGAGCCAGUCAACAAUGGUGGAAAGGCAGCUUGUUACUAUGGCAACACCGACAGACAGAAGGACAGGUCGGACCCCCAAAAGAAUCUCCUCUCUCCACAUAGAUCACAACUACUUCCUGUGACUCACACUUCCUGUUUCCUGUCUGCGUGGGCGAGGAAGGAAAAGAGCGAGAGGAUCGGGGUGAUCGGCGUGGGUGUGGAGGAGCGGCCCCGUUGCCACGGCGACGAUGCACGAGGACGGGGGAAGGGGAGGGCGGCGAGCCCUCGCCGGCCAAUCGCGGCCCAACCUGGUGCAUGAUGGGA